UGGAGCGACUGCCGGCAAUCUCCACCUCUCAAGGUCGACAAGGCCUUACCAGGCCUCACCAGGCCUCACUCUCCAACCCAACAGACUCAACAGCAGGGAACCUGCACCUCCAAAGCCGCUGGAAGGAAAGAGAGUGAAGGCCUUUCCUCCUUUCUUCUUAUAGUCUGGCUUACAUAAAAAUUGUAGGGAAUACUGGCUAAAUCUGGGCACUUCCUUGGUUACAAACUGGUCACCAAGGAAGGCCUAGACCAAACUACCACAUAGUCCAGUCAAAUAAAAUACCAUUGCUGGGGCUAAAAUAUAUAGUGAGAGGGGCUCCUGAAGGUUUCCUGGGAACACUGACAACUCUUGAAUGAGAGGAACCCGAGAUCGGUCUCCUCCACCUUCUAAAAGGACAUCAAGCCUCAAGACGCUUAGGACCCUCUGUGCCAUUGCUUCCUGCUUUGAAUGAGAAUGCAGGCACUCCUAUCAGCCUCACCUAUAUGAUGGCUCGCUGCCCAGAGAAACUGCCAGGGAGCCGAGCCCAUGGAGACAAAGGCACACGACAAACCCCAACAGAGCUCCAGAGCUGCUGGAAGAGGAGAAUCUGAUCUAUUGACUUGUUCCCAAAAUAGCACCCAGUGGGAGGUGACUGACUGGCUAAUACCUGUGGUGUUUCCAUUACUGAAUGAGAUGAAGUCUGUUGCCAGGAAUCCUGGGGCGGUUUCCUUGACAACCAGAAGAAAUGCACAACUGCGAUGCACAUGACUUUUCAGGUGCUUUUUUAACUCCCCUGAAACAAUGAG